rnacentral:snRNA from 1 species
GGAUGUGAGGGCGGUCUGCCUGCGACAUCUGUCACCCCACUGAUUGCCAGAGUUGAUUCUGCUGAUCUGGCUCACUAGGUGGAUGUCCCGUUCCCCUGGUCUUCGGGUCCAGGGUAUAGGAGUAGCUGUGCUCCCCUGCUAGAACCUCCAAACAAGCUCUCAAGACUACACUCCUCCUUCACGCAAAAGCCACUUUUGGGAAUGAUUCAGUCCUCUUAAGAAACCAUAUGUGCUAUCAGAUCAAUAGCCAAUCAACACACAGAUAGUUGUGUAACCCUGUUCU